rnacentral:rRNA from 1 species
GACGAACGCUGGCGGCGUGCUUAACACAUGCAAGUCGAACGCCCCGCAAGGGGAGUGGCAGACGGGUGAGUAACACGUGGGAACGUACCCUUUGGUUCGGAAUAAGUUGGGGAAACUCAAGCUAAUACCGGCUAAGCCCUUAUGGGGAAAGGUUUACUGCCGAAGGAUCGGCCCGCGUCUGAUUAGCUAGUUGGUGAGGUAAUGGCUUACCAAGGCGACGAUCAGUAGCUGGUCUGAGAGGAUGAUCAUCCACACUGGGACUGAGACACGGCCCAGACUCCUACGGGAGGCAGCAGUGGGGAAUAUUGGACAAUGGGGGCAACCCUGAUCCAGCCAUGCCGCGUGAGUGAUGAAGGCCUUAGGGUUGUAAAGCUCUUUUACCCGGGACGAUAAUGACUGUACCGGGAGAAUAAGCCCCGGCUAACUUCGUGCCAGCCGCCGCAGUAA